CUCUCUGCCUGUACAGCCCGGCCAGUGCUAAAGACAUACUGAUGUAUGUGGGGCGUGUAGAGGAAAAAAGAGGUGGAGUGUGUUUAUGUGUGUGUGUGCUGGUUGUGAGUCUUGGUGGGAAGCAGGCAUGGAGGGUAAUGGCCUCUCUGCAGGGUACAUGGGUGGGUUAGAAGGGCCCAGGAUCUCGUUUGGUCUUAUUAAAGCCAUGAUUAGGUAAUAAUACUCCUGCACGCCCCUGGAGAGGUGAUGGUGGUGGUGGUGGGUUGGUUUGGGGAGGAAGGGGGGACAUAAAAUGUUACUGGUUUUUAUGGCAGCAUCAGGAAGAGGAGGAGUGCAAGGAGGAGGCGUUGCUUGGAUGUCAGGUUUUCCAGCAUUGUAUCAGAUCUGUUACAAGCAGCAGAGGGAAGACUGUCAGAGCUCAUCUGAGACUGUCUUUGUGAUUACAGACGUCUGCUACAAGCAACAAAACUGUCAUCAGAGUUUGAACAAAACUUAUCAACCCACAUCGAGAGACACAACAUCCAAGAGGCCGUGAGCAGUCAUCAGGUCAGCUAAACAGGUGCAGGUGUCCACUCCUGAAAGCAAUUGGAAUAAAUCAAAUGUUCCUCACUUUGCAUGAAUAAACAACAGAUUUUAUCUUCACAUCAGUCAGAAAGACAGAAACUGUGCACAAGAACAUAAAUACCUGG